GUGCCCAAUGAUUAAGGAAUGACGCGUUAUUGUGAGGACUAAUCUGGCAGGCUGUUCUUACUAUUUGACUUACCUUGACCACCACCUCUUACCCGUUUUUCUUUCUUCCAAAUCCCCAACCCUUUUUCCACCUGUUAUGGAUAGCUGGCCAGUGUCCUGUGAGCGUGAUUGAGAGAUGAGGGCAG